GGGCUCCCUUUGACAGCACAUAUACUAACAUUGAAAUAAUACAGAGAAGAUCAGCAUGGCCUCUGCACAAGGAUGAAAUGCAAAUUUGGGAAGAGUUCCAUAUUUUA
rnacentral:snRNA from 1 species